CAAUAGCGUAUAUUAAAGUUGUUGCAGUUAAAAAGCUCGUAGUUGGAUUUCUGAUCGAGACAUCAGGUCGGGUCCGAGAGGAUCAUGUACUUUGAUUUUGUUUUGAUCAUCCUUGGGGAGAGCAUUUCUGGCAUUCAGUUGUCGGGAUUGGGAUCCUCAUCGUUUACUGUGAAAAAAUUAGAGUGUUCAAAGCAGGCCUCGGCCUCUGAAUACAUUAGCAUGGAAUAAUAAGAUAGGACUUUGGUGGUCUAUUUUGUUGGUUUGCACGCCAAAGUGAUGAUUAAUAGGGAUAGUUGGGGGUAUUCGUAUUCAAUUGUCAGAGGUGAAAUUCUUGGAUUUAUGGAAGACGAACUACUGCGAAAGCAUUUACCAAGGAUGUUUUCAUUAA
rnacentral:rRNA from 1 species